rnacentral:rRNA from 1 species
AUACGGAGGGUCCAAGCGUUAUCCGGAUUCAUUGGGUUUAAAGGGUCCGCAGGCGGGAAAAUAAGUCAGUGGUGAAAGCCUACAGCUCAACUGUAGAACUGCCAUUGAUACUGUUUCUCUUGAGUAUAGAUGAAGUGGGCGGAAUAUAUCAUGUAGCGGUGAAAUGCAUAGAUAUGAUAUAGAACACCGAUUGCGAAGGCAGCUCACUAAACUAUUACUGACGCUCAGGGACGAAAGCGUGGGGAGCGAACAGGAUUAGAUACCCUAGUAGUCC